AAUGAGAAUAAUAUUAAGUCUGAUCUGCUCUAUGAAGUAGAAUUUAAAUGGCUGCAGGAAAUUCCCGACUGUACAAAGGUAGCAAAAUCGAUAGUUUUUUAAUUGAGAGCUGGAAUGAACGAUUUGAUAAGGUAAUUAUUGUCUCAAACUUAUUAAGAGUAAAAUUUUUUUUUUAGUAAAAAAACUAAAGUGAAUUUAAAAGACGAGAAGACCCUAUAGAUUUUUAUAUUUUGAAUAAAAUUAAUUAAAUAUAUUAAAUAAAAAUUUUAGGUAAAAAUAUUAGGUUGGGGAAAUUAUUAUAUUUAAAAAACUUUAAUUUUUAGUAAAACGAUAAUUAAUGAAUAAUAGAUCUUUAGAUUUGAAUUAAAAGAAUAAAAUACCUUAGGGAUAACAGCGUAAUUUUUUUGGAGAGUUCUUAUUGAUAAAAAAGUUUGCGACCUCGAUGUUGAAUUAAGAUAAAAUUUUAAUGAAGAAGUUAAAAAGUUUUAGUCUGUUCGACUAUUAAUAUCUUACGUGAU
rnacentral:rRNA from 1 species